rnacentral:snRNA from 1 species
UUUGAAUAGUUAAUUCGAAGAC